rnacentral:rRNA from 1 species
CUGAUGCGUUGUUGGGUAGGGGAGCGUUCUGUAAGCCUGUGAAGGUGUACUGUGAGGUAUGCUGGAGGUAUCAGAAGUGCGAAUGCUGACAUAAGUAACGAUAAAGCGGGUGAAAAGCCCGCUCGCCGGAAGACCAAGGGUUCCUGUCCAACGUUAAUCGGGGCAGGGUGAGUCGACCCCUAAGGCGAGGCCGAAAGGCGUAGUCGAUGGGAAACAGGUUAAUAUUCCUGUACUUGGUGUUACUGCGAAGGGGGGACGGAGAAGGCUAUGUUGGCCGGGCGACGGUUGUCCCGGUUUAAGCGUAUAGGCUGGUUUUCCAGGCAAAUCCGGAAAAUCAAGGCUGAGGCGUGAUGACGAGGCACUACGGUGCUGAAGCAACAAAUGCCCUGCUUCCAGGAAAAGCCUCUAAGCAUCAGGUAACAUCAAAUCGUACCCCAAACCGACACAGGUGGUCAGGUAGAGAAUACCAAGGCGCUUGAGAGAACUCGGGUGAAGGAACUAGGCAAAAUGGUGCCGUAACUUCGGGAGAAGGCACGCUGAUAUGUAGGUGAAGUCCCUCGCGGAUGGAGCUGAAAUCAGUCGAAGAUACCAGCUGGCUGCAACUGUUUAUUAAAAACACAGCACUGUGCAAACACGAAAGUGGACGUAUACGGUGUGACGCCUGCCCGGUGCCGGAAGGUUAAUUGAUGGGGUCAGCGCAAGCGAAGCUCUUGAUCGAAGCCCCGGUAAACGGCGGCCGUAACUAUAACGGUCCUAAGGUAGCGAAAUUCCUUGUCGGGUAAGUUCCGACCUGCACGAAUGGCGUAAUGAUGGCCAGGCUGUCUCCACCCGAGACUCAGUGAAAUUGAACUCGCUGUGAAGAUGCAGUGUACCCGCGGCAAGACGGAAAGACCCCGUGAACCUUUACUAUAGCUUGACACUGAACAUUGAGCCUUGAUGUGUAGGAUAGGUGGGAGGCUUUGAAGUGUGGACGCCAGUCUGCAUGGAGCCGACCUUGAAAUACCACCCUUUAAUGUUUGAUGUUCUAACGUGGACCCGUGAUCCGGGUUGCGGACAGUGUCUGGUGGGUAGUUUGACUGGGGCGGUCUCCUCCUAAAGAGUAACGGAGGAGCACGAAGGUUGGCUAAUCCUGGUCGGACAUCAGGAGGUUAGUGCAAUGGCAUAAGCCAGCUUGACUGCGAGCGUGACGGCGCGAGCAGGUGCGAAAGCAGGUCAUAGUGAUCCGGUGGUUCUGAAUGGAAGGGCCAUCGCUCAACGGAUAAAAGGUACUCCGGGGAUAACAGGCUGAUACCGCCCAAGAGUUCAUAUCGACGGCGGUGUUUGGCACCUCGAUGUCGGCUCAUCACAUCCUGGGGCUGAAGUAGGUCCCAAGGGUAUGGCUGUUCGCCAUUUAAAGUGGUACGCGAGCUGGGUUUAGAACGUCGUGAGACAGUUCGGUCCCUAUCUGCCGUGGGCGCUGGAGAAUUGAGGGGGGCUGCUCCUAGUACGAGAGGACCGGAGUGGACGCAUCACUGGUGUUCGGGUUGUCAUGCCAAUGGCACUGCCCGGUAGCUAAAUGCGGAAGAGAUAAGUGCUGAAAGCAUCUAAGCACGAAACUUGCCCCGAGAUGAGUUCUCCCUGACUCCUUGAGAGUCCUGAAGGAACGUUGAAGACGACGACGUUGAUAGGCCGGGUGUGUAAGCGCAGCGAUGCGUUGAGCUAACCGGUACUAAUGAACCGUGAGGCUUAACCUUACAACGCCGAAG